UUUUUUAGUUAUAUGUAUAGAU
rnacentral:snRNA from 1 species